UUUUAUCAAAAGUGCUUCUCAAAAAAGUGCUUUUGGAGAGAAGCUACUUUUUUCUGCUUCUCCAAAACUGCUUCUGCUUCUCCUCAAAAGCACUUUUUUUGCUUCCAAAAGCUUGGCCAAACACCUCAAUUUUUGGCCAAAAGUGCUUUUGAUAAAAAAAAAAAGCACUAUUAGCCAAAAAGAAGCUUGGCCAAACAGGCUAUUAUUAUGGUCUAUACAAAAAUUAAUAUCUGGUCUCUAAUAUCGAUUUCAGAGGGAUAGGGGCGCGAAAUUGACGAAAACUAAAGUUAAAAGAAAAAAAAAGUAAAGCUCCAAAAAUUUCAUGUUAAUCCCUCCAAAUUAUCUUUCACCCUAAAAUCCCUUCAAUACGCUAAAAUCCCUAAGAAUUGGCCGCAAAACUUCAUCAAAAUGCACAAGGUUGCAAAGAACUCAGAAGGUAGGUUAGUGUCUAAAAUUCAUCACUCUCCAAGAGACUUUACACAAAUUAUACCAUUGGAUUAUCCACCAAAAAAAAGUAAGUUUAAUUUCUUUCUCUUUAAUCUAUUCUAUUUCUUUUUUCUUCUUCAUGUUUUUUUUUCCGAUUAAAUCAGAAAUCGAAAAAAGUGUUCUGCAAUUUUUUGUUUCUUUAGCUAUUUUCUGCAAUUGGUUAUUUUGAAUACUGAUUUUUCUUGUGUGAGUGAUAAAGUGAGAUUAUUAGGUUUAACAUUGGGUGAUCUUUAUUGUGUGAGGACAAAUUUGUACAAAAGAAGGGUUGUAUGGUUGCUCGUAAAAUCAUCGGACAUCAGAGAAUGUCAAAUACCCCAGAACUGAAAUUUCAUCAAAAAUGGGUAUUGGUUGCUCGUAUUAGGACUGCAAUAUGAUUUAUAAUUCGAUUCAUCAUAUCCCAACAUUCAGUCAUGGAAUAUAUUCUACUUUUUUUGUCUUUCAAGAAAAUGGGGCUCAAAUGUGAGUAAUGAUAAGGCAAAGAGAAACCAGCCAUGCAAAGGCUGCAAACACCGGGUAUACCGGCUUGCCAUGCCAAGAUACAGGUCGGUUAAUCGCCCAAUGCCCGAAUUGGUAAGCCCAGAUAUAGAAACACCAUCCUCACUACCUCUUCAUGUACUUUUCCUCAACACAGAAAAAACAAAAUACACACUUACACACAAGAAAGAUAGAGAUGUAAGUAUAUAGAUUUUUUCUUGUAGAGUUUUGUCUAUGCGAUAGUUUUAUCCUUUGAGAUUUACAUUAUAGAAUUCUUCUGGGGACUUUCUCGAAGGGUCAUGAAAAUAUUGUAGGAUAUCUUGUGGUUUUUCAUAUGAGGUGAUGAAUUGGUUGAAUUUUUUCAUAUGCUUUAUCAAAUCUAUUCUUUUGUAAGAAUUUAAUUGAUGAUAACUGGAACUUGGUAAGUUCUUAUUUGCAAUAUUAGCUGCUAUAUCUAGUGUAGAUCCCACUUUAUUGAGUAUAAGUACCCCCUAUUCAAUGACUCUUUCCCGGCUUAUGUAGCACUUAUGAAUAACUUCAUAUCUGAAAGCUAAUUUCUAUUAAGCUUCAGUUGAAUUAAUAUCAUUAAAGUUGGGUAUUAGGAACCUUUAACUUCUUUAAGUGUCUAUCUUGUGCAAACUAAAGUUUGUUAAACACAAGAUAAUUUAGCCUAUCAAAUCCAUAUAGAUUACUACGACACUCGAUAGCGCAUGACCAUUAGGAUAUUUUUUUAAUUUGCAUCAUAUUCUAAUCAACAAGUUCUUAGUUAAUGAUAUGAUACAUACUGGAGAGUAAUUCAUGUGCUUUAGCUCUCACACAUUGAUACGUACGUUUUUGAGUCAUAAAACUUGUAUAUUUGUUAUAGGCUUAUAUCUACCACCUAAAUUAAUUAGUACAUCAAAAACUUUACUCGGGAGAUGUUAUCUUCUACUCAUUUAAUGUGCAAUCAUAUAUUUCCUUUUCUAGCUUAUAUUUGUGAAUGGAUAUUUAUAGACUUACUUGGGAGACUUACUGCUUCCAACUUGUGUCUGUGUGUUAUGAGUGAGUCUGGAUAUGUGUAAUAGCUCUAAUUGGCAAAAAAGAUGACUGGCAGAAGAGAAGGAGCAUUGAGGUUGAUGGUAUGUUGCACUUAUGUUGUUUCUUUUGCAAGAGCUUUUCAGAUGUCUAUAGCAUUGAAGUCACCUGUGUAAUUUCAGCCUACCAUAUGUUUGGUACAAAUGUUGCAUUAAAUCAAGAUGAAAAUGAAUAUGGGGUACCCCAAGAAUAUUGACAGGUAUUCAGAUGUCUAUAGCAUUGCAUGUUCUGCUGGCGUAGCUACUGCUGGUACAACAGUUGAUGAUGUAGCUACUGCUGGUGCCUGUUCUAUGUUUUAAAUUCAUAAAAUUGAAAUAAAGGUAAGGCAUAUACUAGACUUUGGUCAAAUUAAUUCAAGACUCAUUGUAGAACUAUGUCGAUCCUAAAACAAUUGAGAAACAUGUGAGUUUGGUUAAUUGAACAUGUUUUUUACUUUUAGUUAUUAUGGGAUCUGAUAAAAAUUCCUCUAUAUGCUUUGUAGGCUCAAAUCCAGGAAUUGGUGCAGUCUGAACCAUCACUUCCUACAAUAGAGUUGCAGAAAAAUGCUUUGGACCUCAAAGUGAUAGUCAUGUAUUUGGUUUUGGGGGUGGAUUAAAGGCAAAAGAUUUGACAGGUGGAACUGCCUCAAAAACCGAAUUAUUGGCUAAGUUAUGUUCAACUGAAAAUAAAAACCAGUUUUUGAAGGAUCGUUUGUCUAACUUUGAAAAUGAAAUGAGAGAACUUAAGAAAAUAAAAGAAUUAGUAUUAGUGCAACAAACUAAUUUCCAACCUUCAGUAUGGGAGAAUGAUUAUUCGGCUCCUUGAUGAUACCAAAAUUUCUUAUUCUAUUAAUUCUGAAUUUGGUGGUCGAUAACCCAUACUGGUUGUUCAAAGUGACAAUUGGAAUGAAAAAACUUCUCUUAAGCUUUGUGAUAUGCUGAAAGAGCUUAGACCAGCUGACUCAGUGACCGCUUUGACAGUUCUCCCAAAACUCCAUGGAGAGAGAUGAGCUUAAAUCAGCUCAUUUGGUGCAUUACGUGUUAACAAAGCCUCUUCGGCCGAGUGUGUUAAUUUCAUGCUUUCAAGAAACCCUUGGCUUCGGAAACAAGAGGCAUGUAAAAAGGGGAAAACUUCCAACUCGUGGAAGUUUGCUAAAGGGAAGACAUAUCCUGGGGAUAGAUGAUAAUGUUGUAAACAGAAGAGUGGCAGAAGGUGCUCUCAAAAAGUAUGGAGCUAUAUCAACCUGUGUGGAUAGUAGGAAGGCUGCUUUGGCACUUUUCACGCCACCACAUAAGUAUGAUGCUUGCUUUAUGGAUCUCCAAAUGCCAUAAAUGGAAGGCAAUAACAACAGAUGUUAUUCAAGCAACAGAUGCAAAGUGCAUGAAGUGUGGAAUGGAUUAUUAUGUGGCAAAACCAUUUGAAGAAGGGCAACUUUAUUCAGCAAUCGCCCACUUCUUUGUGUGUGAUUGAUUAGGAGGUGUUUCAAGUAACUAUAUAAUGGAGGUACCGGUUGAGGUUCCGCCUGAUGGUUUAUUUUAAUUUGGUUGUGAAAAAGCUCAUCAGUUGCCUGAAUGUCCGAUUAAUGCAUUUCUACGUCGGAAGUGGAUGGAGGACCUUGGCUGCUCAGAUGUCUGAUAGUUGGUUCGUAAUGUUGCUGCUGGAUAAUGUAGCAGAUUCAGAACAAAUACAUCUAUCAUGACUUAUGUGGUAUCAUGACCUAUAUACACAUUGAGAACUUUCUUGUUUAAUAUUGGAUGAACUCAAAGUGGGAAAUAAAGUUUGCUACUGCAAUAAUAUAUAAUAACAUUUAGUUAUUUCCAUGCAA